rnacentral:rRNA from 1 species
AACGAACGCUGGCGGCAGGCUUAACACAUGCAAGUCGAACGCAUCCUUCGGGGUGAGUGGCAGACGGGUGAGUAACGCGUGGGAACGUGCCCUUCAGUUCGGGAUAACCCAGGGAAACUUGGGCUAAUACCGGAUACGUGCGAGAGCAGAAAGAUUUAUCGCUGAAGGAUCGGCCCGCGUCUGAUUAGCUAGUUGGUGGGGUAAUGGCCCACCAAGGCGACGAUCAGUAGCUGGUCUGAGAGGAUGAUCAGCCACAUUGGGACUGAGACACGGCCCAAACUCCUACGGGAGGCAGCAGUGGGGAAUAUUGGACAAUGGGCGCAAGCCUGAUCCAGCCAUGCCGCGUGAGUGAUGAAGGCCUUAGGGUUGUAAAGCUCUUUCGUCCGGGACGAUAAUGACGGUACCUGCAGAAAAAGGACCGGCUAACUACGUGCCAGCCGCCGCGGUAAUAC